CAGAAGAUAUUGCAAGAUUUCCUAUGGGUCAUGGUGGUCUGUUUUGUUUUUAUUGUUUGCUACUUUAAAAAAAGAAACUUAACCUAAGCUCCCCUUGGUGUGGAUGGAGAGAGGAAGGCACUUCCAGAAGGUGAACCACGAGGUCUCUCAUGUACAGAGGGCGUUGCUGUGCACUGUUUGCCAAUACAGGGUUAGAGAUCCCACAGAAACCUCUGGACAGCUGCAGGGUCAGCCCUCCUCUUCUUGUCCCAAGGAGACAUGGUGAAUAGCUUAUUGGUUUCCUCAAGUCGUGUUUUUUUUCAAUCUGAGGUCAACUCAAUGAUGGGAAAUGAUUUGCCACACUCUCUCUGUCUGCAUAAUGUCUUCUUAGACAAAAGGUAUGGUUGUGCUACUGUUACGAGCAAAUGUAAUUAACACAGGAGCCCAUUUAUGUAAACUACAUUAACUACUACAUUGGAUGCUGAAAAUCACAGAUUCCAUGGAGUUGGAGACUCUUUGACAUAUUUCACCUUUCCCUACAAUCCUUCUCCAGUUUUUCCUCUUAUGUUUCACAGGUGAUUUUGUCUAUCCCACAAGAGCUUGUGAACUUGCUUCCUCUCCAGCUAAU